UACGUAGGGGGCGAGCGUUAUCCGGAAUUAUUGGGCGUAAAGAGUGCGUAGGUGGCCAGGUAAGCGUGGGGUGAAAGGCAAUAGCUUAACUAUUGUAAGCCUUGCGAACUGUCUGGCUUGAGUGCAGGAGAGGAAAGCGGAAUUCCUAGUGUAGCGGUGAAAUGCGUAGAUAUUAGGAGGAACACCAGUGGCGAAGGCGGCUUUCUGGACUGUAACUGACACUGAGGCACGAAAGCGUGGGGAGCAAACAGG
rnacentral:rRNA from 1 species